UACGGAGGGUGCAAGCGUUAUCCGGAUUCACUGGGUUUAAAGGGUGCGUAGGUGGGCAGGUAAGUCAGUGGUGAAAUCUCUGGGCUUAACCCAGAAACUGCCAUUGAUACUAUCUGUCUUGAAUACCGUGGAGGUCAGCGGAAUAUGUCAUGUAGCGGUGAAAUGCUUAGAUAUGACAUAGAACACCAAUUGCGAAGGCAGCUGGCUACACGAAUAUUGACACUGAUGCACGAAAGCGUGGGGAUCAAACAGGAUUAGAAACCCCUGUAGUCC
rnacentral:rRNA from 1 species